UGGGGAAUAUUGGACAAUGGGCGAAAGCCUGAUCCAGCCAUGCCGCGUGUGUGAAGAAGGUCUACGGAUUGUAAAGCACUUUAAGUUGGGAGGAAGGGCAGUAAGCGAAUACCUUGCUGUUUUGACGUUACCGACAGAAUAAGCACCGGCUAACUCUGUGCCAGCAGCCGCGGUAAUACAGAGGGUGCAAGCGUUAAUCGGAAUUACUGGGCGUAAAGCGCGCGUAGGUGGUUCGUUAAGUUGAAUGUGAAAGCCCCGGGCUCAACCUGGGAACUGCAUCCAAAACUGGCGAGCUAGAGUAGGGCAGAGGGUGGUGGAAUUUACUGUGUAGCGGUGAAAUGCGUAGAUAUAGGAAGGAACACCAGUGGCGAAGGCGACCACCUGGGCUCAUACUGACACUGAGGUGCGAAAGCGUGGGGAGCAAACAGG
rnacentral:rRNA from 1 species